rnacentral:rRNA from 1 species
CAGUAAGGCUGAGUAUUAGGCAAAUCCGGUACUCAUUAAGGCUGAGCUGUGAUGGGGAGAAGACAUUGUGUCUUCGAGUCGUUGAUUUCACACUGCCGAGAAAAGCCUCUAGAUAGAAAAUAGGUGCCCGUACCGCAAACCGACACAGGUAGUCAAGAUGAGAAUUCUAAGGUGAGCGAGCGAACUCUCGUUAAGGAACUCGGCAAAAUGACCCCGUAACUUCGGGAGAAGGGGUGCUCUUUAGGGUUAACGCCCAGAAGAGCCGCAGUGAAUAGGCCCAAGCGACUGUUUAUCAAAAACACAGGUCUCUGCUAAACCGUAAGGUGAUGUAUAGGGGCUGACGCCUGCCCGGUGCUGGAAGGUUAAGAGGAGUGGUUAGCUUCUGCGAAGCUACGAAUCGAAGCCCCAGUAAACGGCGGCCGUAACUAUAACGGUCCUAAGGUAGCGAAAUUCCUUGUCGGGUAAGUUCCGACCCGCACGAAAGGCGUAACGAUUUGGGCACUGUCUCAACGAGAGACUCGGUGAAAUCAUAGUACCUGUGAAGAUGCAGGUUACCCGCGACAGGACGGAAAGACCCCGUGGAGCUUUACUGUAGCCUGAUAUUGAAAUUCGGCACAGCUUGUACAGGAUAGGUAGGAGCCUUUGAAACGUGAGCGCUAGCUUACGUGGAGGCGCUGGUGGGAUACUACCCUAGCUGUGUUGGCUUUCUAACCCGCACCACUUAUCGUGGUGGGAGACAGUGUCAGGCGGGCAGUUUGACUGGGGCGGUCGCCUCCUAAAAGGUAACGGAGGCGCUCAAAGGUUCCCUCAGAAUGGUUGGAAAUCAUUCAUAGAGUGUAAAGGCAUAAGGGAGCUUGACUGCGAGACCUACAAGUCGAGCAGGGUCGAAAGACGGACUUAGUGAUCCGGUGGUUCCGCAUGGAAGGGCCAUCGCUCAACGGAUAAAAGCUACCCCGGGGAUAACAGGCUUAUCUCCCCCAAGAGUUCACAUCGACGGGGAGGUUUGGCACCUCGAUGUCGGCUCAUCGCAUCCUGGGGCUGUAGUCGGUCCCAAGGGU